AUGCCGUGGUGGGGGCAUGCUGCGAUGUAUUCCCGGAAUCUCUCCCAAGCUUCCGGAAUGGCUUCAUUUGGGAGCUGCUAAAAGCCAGAGAUCUUGCCUCGGAGGGU